rnacentral:tRNA from 1 species
AACGAAAAUCCGUUGGUUUCACGGGACCGUGAGGGUUCGAAUCCCUCUAUCCCCAGCGAG